rnacentral:rRNA from 1 species
AUGACAUGGGUUGGUAAUGGUUAUAGGGAUUCCACUGCACAUUGUCAUCUCGUCAUUUCGUCAAAGCAGCUGUGCCUCUGCACCAUGAAGGUGAAGGGUGAUAAUCUUCUCAUAAUAGCAUGGAGUCAACGACCGAUCAUGCGAGCAAAAGCGCUUUUGCCGACAGAUUAUCUGAAAGGAGAUGUGCUUUCCGAUCUCCAAACUGAAAAAGGCGUCCAGUCCCAGCUGAUUGGGUGCCUCAUAUGCAAAGAUAAGUGCUGCUGUCGACGUUCUGCAUGGGGGAAGGUGUGGCUGAUUUGCUCGAGCACAUGGUUAGCCAUGCAAAUUUACAUCUUACGUGCCAUUGCAGCUAGGUUAGUCGUUGUCCAUUCAAUCUAUUAA